GACGAACGCUGGCGGCGUGCCUAAUACAUGCAAGUUGAGCGAUGAAGAUUGGUGCUUGCACCAAUUUGAAGAGCAGCGAACGGGUGAGUAACGCGUGGGGAAUCUGCCUUUGAGCGGGGGACAACAUUUGGAAACGAAUGCUAAUACCGCAUAACAACUUUAAACAUAAGUUUUAAGUUUGAAAGAUGCAAUUGCAUCACUCAAAGAUGAUCCCGCGUUGUAUUAGCUAGUUGGUGAGGUAAAGGCUCACCAAGGCGAUGAUACAUAGCCGACCUGAGGGGGUGAUCGGCCACCUUGAGACUGAGACACGGCCCAAACUCCUACGGGAGGCAGCAGUAGGGAAUCUUCGGCAACGGACGAAAGUCUGACCGAGCAACGCCGCGUGAGUGAAGAAGGUUGUCGGAUCGUAAAACUCUGUUGGUAGAGAAGAACGUUGGUGAGAGUGGAAAGCUCAUCAAGUGACGGUAACUACCCAGAAAGGGACGGCUAACUACGUG
rnacentral:rRNA from 1 species